rnacentral:rRNA from 1 species
GAUGAACGCUGGCGGCGUGCCUAAUACAUGCAAGUCGAGCGAACAGAUGAGGAGCUUGCUCCUCUGACGUUAGCGGCGGACGGGUGAGUAACACGUGGAUAACCUACCUAUAAGACUGGGAUAACUACGGGAAACCGGAGCUAAUACCGGAUAAUAUAUUGAACCGCAUGGUUCAAUAGUGAAAGACGGCUUUGCUGUCACUUAUAGAUGGAUCCGCGCCGCAUUAGCUAGUUGGUAAGGUAACGGCUUACCAAGGCAACGAUGCGUAGCCGACCUGAGAGGGUGAUCGGCCACACUGGAACUGAGACACGGUCCAGACUCCUACGGGAGGCAGCAGUAGGGAAUCUUCCGCAAUGGGCGAAAGCCUGACGGAGCAACGCCGCGUGAGUGAUGAAGGUCUUCGGAUCGUAAAACUCUGUUAUUAGGGAAGAACAAAUGUGUAAGUAACUAUGCACGUCUUGACGGUACCUAAUCAGAAAGCCACGGCUAACUACGUG